rnacentral:snRNA from 1 species
AUACUUACCUGGCAGGGGAGAUAGCAUGGUCACGGAGGUGGUUUUCCCAGGGUGAGGCUCAUCCAUUGCACUGCGGGUGUGUUGAUCCCUGCGAUUUCCCCAAAUGGGGGAAACUCGACUGCAUAAUUUGUGGUAGUGGGGGACUGUGUUCGCGCUCUCCCCUG